rnacentral:lncRNA from 1 species
ACAAUAUAAUAUUUAGGAGCCUGAGCCCGAAUGAGCCCAGGAGCUGCACAUUCUUGCUUCAGCAUGACAGACGAAACGUCAUGGUGGCUGACACGUUGGGCUACGCAUCAUCGUGUAUGGGAGUUUCCAUAAUGAGUGGCUAGACUUUUCAAAUUCCCAGUGUCCAGUGCAGCUUUUGAGAAUGCUAAGAUUAUGUAUUGCCCCUCGAAAAGAAAAGUGAUACGCAAGGAGCUUGCAGGAAAUAGUAAACACAGCGCCAACGACGCAGUACGUGACUGAAGUGUAUUAGAAAACUCAUUGCAAACAACGUGAUGACGUCAACUCGGCAUGGAACAGUGUCCAGCUUCUGCGGCGAUGGGCCAUCAUUGCAGCACAAAGAGAGACACCAUUCGCUCAAGCUGUUUCGUCUUUUGGCUGAAGAGGGUGUGAUGGCCGCUGUGGAGAAGAACCCUGUCUGGUUUCCCUUGCUGCACCAGGCCAUCAUGAGUGACGUAGUGCUCCAGAUUUGAGCGCAUUAAAGCCCCAGGA